CUCGGAGCCCAAGCCACAGGCCCGGGGAGCUCGCGAGAGCGAGGCUGAGGGCCGAGUAGGCCCUGCGGCCCUGCUCACCUUCGAGUCGGGCGGGAAGGAAGGCGGCCUGGAAUCCUCCUGGGUCGGGUCCGGAUUGAUGUAUGAUGAAUGCUUUUCAGAAACUGAACUCUUAAUAGGAUAUAGCGUCUGCAUCUACUUUUGAGAGCUUGUUUGGAGAUUUUAGCAGGAAAGGACAGCUACUUUGUAGCCUUGACCAAAGGCCUGUCCUCCUCUCUCAGUCUCCCUGUUUGGUCGGGAACCUGAUCAGGCUCGCUGCCAUCUCACAGAAUUUACCUGCCUCUACCUCCCAAGUGCUAGGAUUAAAGUGUUCCCUGAGCCGUUGAUAUGGAUGACCCAUCUGUGGUUAUGCACUCAGCAGUCACUUAUCCUCAGCACUUUGACCAGCUACAUUAACCACUAUCUACUGCAAAAAGAAGCUUUUCUGACCAAGGUUGAGAGCAGCACUAAUUUAUGGAUAUAAACAUUGCUAAGAAGGUAGUUUGACAACACGACCAUUUAACAAAACAAAACAAGGGUUGCAGGUUCGAGUCUCCGGCAACUGGCGCUCAACGUGGCGCUCGAAGGAAGGCGAAAAGAAGAAAAGAAAGAAGUAAGAAGAAAAACAGAUUGGGGCCAAUCGAGGAGGUUCGGGGAUUGUGAAAAAUUUGCUUUCUCUGUACCUUCCACCAACUUUAAAACGCCUGAUGAGAGGUAUGAAUGGACUGUUUUACCCCAAGAUAAUUUGGCGACAGAGAACCCUUGGAAGUGCCACAGCCCACCUCCUCAUGAUUACGGACUUCCCCAGGACCCACUCUGGUUGCCCACGCUUGGCUAACCGAGUUAGGCAGAGACUAAGACUGUCACAGGCUGGCAUUACCCAUGCGGCUGCC